UGCAGAAUUAAGUUUUCAUUGGUUAACAGAA
rnacentral:piRNA from 1 species